rnacentral:rRNA from 1 species
GAUGAACGCUGGCGGCGUGCCUAACACAUGCCAGUCGAGCGAACGGACGAGACUUUUGCUUUUCUGAUGUUAGCGGCGGACGGGUGAGUCACACGUGUAUAACCUACCUAUAUGACUGGGAUCACUUCGGGAAACCGGCUCUAACCCCGGAUAAUAUUUUGAACCGCAUGGUUCAAAAGUGAAAGACGGUCUUGCUGUCACUUAUAGAUGGUUCCCCGCUGCAUUAGCUAGUUGGUACGGUAACGGCUUACCAAGGCUACGAUGCAUAGCCGACCUGAGAGGGUGAUCGGCCACACUGGAACUGAGACACGGUCCAGACUCCUACGGGAGGCAGCAGUAGGGAAUCUUCGGCAAUGGGCGAAAGCCUGACGGAGCAAGGCCGCGUGAGUGAAGAAGGUCUUCGGAUCGUAAAACUCUGUUAUUAGGGAAGAACAGAUGUGUAAGUAAAUGUGGAGAUAUUGACGGUACCUAAUAAGAAAGCAACGGCUAACUACGUG